rnacentral:lncRNA from 1 species
GCAUUCCUAACUUCUAACCUUGGAAGGGCACUUUUUUUUUUUCCUAUCGUAAGAGCUCUCUGAAGUCUUGUUUGCAGAACUGUCUGCAAGGCUGCUUGUCACCUUCGAAUAUACUCCAUCAACAUGCUGCCACUUCAUCUUGUUUAGGCUCUUCGACUGCUUUAUAGAAGGACACUGAAGUCCACAUCUAUCUCCUUGAGACAGGCAAAGAAACAAAUCCUUUAUCCUGUCUCAAAAAGAGCUGACAAGCUUUUAGUAGUGUUUAUCUUCACUGAAGGGUGAUAACCUUGAAAAUGAAAGUGAAAAGAGACUGAUACAAUUAGAUAAAGAAACCAGGACUCAAAGAUGAAGUAACUUGUUCAAAGUCUGGCAGCUACUAAGUGACAGAGCUGAAAUUCAAGCCACCAACUACAAGUACAGAUGGACUAAGGGGGCGCAAACCCCCCUGGGUGAAACAACAAAAAGAAAAACAGAUAAAAUAUAUUAAACAACAGCUCUCAAGAUACUAGCAUCAGGCAACAAACCAAAGUGAUCCCUGUGAGAUAGUAAACAAAUGAGGUGAACCCUAUGACAGGUGCAACUUACUGCUUUGCAGAGUUUCCAGGCCAUGACACUAAGAGGAGAUAUCCAAGCAGAGCCCAGUGAAUGACCCAGAUUGAGGAGACAGAGCUGAAAGUCCAAGAAGACCCAAGGCAGCUGGAAUUUGCAAGACCGAGUACCAGAGAAAAGAGGGCUGAGCAGAGAUAGAAUUCCAGAGAUUUGUAAAGGGUCUCCCUUAAGUAUUUAGCAGAGUAUUAAUCAUUGUAGGCAUUUGAGGCAGUUACCUGUGGCCAGGAAAAAAACCACCCAAGAGGAUUAAAGGAAACAGUGUUUUAGCACUCACACAAGGCCAGAAAUAGCCUAUUUUCCCAUCCAGAUUGACUUAACUUCGUAAUUUGUGGGGCUUUGGGUAAAAAAGUCUACUCAUUAGUUAGUCUUACCUCAGUAGUAGGGAAUAAGUAGAUGUAGACUAAACACUAUACUGGUACCACCAAAAAAGCUUUAAAAACAGACUUAAAAGAAGUAAAUGCUUUUCAAGUAAUUUAACUGCAUCCUAGAACAAAAGACAUGCAAUUGGAGUCCCUGAAAGGAGGAUGUGAGAAAAAAUAUUACAGGAAAUAAUGACUAAAAUUGUUUCAAAUUUGAUGAAAGGAUAGACACAAGAAACUCAACAAAACUCAAAGCGUACAAGAAACAUGAAGAAGCCAGGUGCAGUGGCUCAUACUUGUAGUCCCAGCUGCUUGGGAGGCUGAGGCAGGAGGAUCUCUUGAGCCCAGUAGAUUGAAUCUGCAGUGAGCUGUGAACGCACCACUGUACUCCAGCCUGGGAGACAGAGCAAGACCCUAUCAAAAAAAAAAGGAAGAGACAUGAAGAAAACUACACUAAGGCACACAAUAAUCAAACUGCUCAAAAUCAGUGAUAAAGUGAAAAUCUUAAAUGCAACCAGAAGGAAAAAGACAUUAUAUACAGAGAAACAACGAUAAGGAUGACAUUAGAUUUAACUUCAGUAAUAAUGCAAUCCAGAAAACAGUGGAACAACAUUUUUAAAGUGCUGAAAGAAAAAAGCUAGAAUUCUACUCUCAGUAAAAAUGUCUUUAUAAGAAUUUUUUUCCUUUUUUUCUUUUUUCCUUGAGAUGAAGUCUCACUCUGUUGCCCAGGCUGUUCUUGAACUCCUGAGCUCAAACAACUCUCUGCCUUGGACUCCUAAAGUGCUGGGUGGGAUUACAGGCGUGAACCACCGUGCCUGGCCAGGACAUUUUUGGACAUACGAAGCUGAAAGAGUUCAUCACCAGCAAAUCCAUACUACAAAAAAUGUUAAAGAAAUUCUUCAGGCAGAAGAAAAAUACCCUAUAUGAAAAUUUUAAUCUGCACAAAUAAAUGAAGAGAACCAAAAAUGGUAAUACAUGGCAUGAUUGUUAAUUUUAUGUGCCAACUUAGUGGCCAUGAGGUGCCCAGAUUAAACAUUAUUCCUGGAUGUGUUUGUGAGGGUGUUUCUGAAUGAGAUUACAUUUGAAUCAGCGGACUCAGUAAAGUAGAUUGCCCUCCCAGUGUGGAUGGGCCUCAUCCAAUCUGUUAGGAGCCUAAAUGGAAUAAAGUGUGGCAGAAAGGAAAAUUCACCCCUUUUGCUUCCUGCCUGUCUGGUUGAACUGAGACAUCUCAUCCCAUCUUCCCUAGCACUCAGAUUGGGAUUUACAACACCAGGUCCCUUGGUUCUCAGGCCUUUGGACUUGGACUGAAUUACACCACUGCUUUCCGCGGUCUCCCAACUCGUGGAUGGCAGACUGUGGGACUUCUUAGCCUCCAUAAUCAUCGGAGCCAAUUUCUCAUAAUAAACAUAUUUACUAUACCCUACUGGCUCUGUUUCUUUGGAGAACUCUGACCAAUACACAUGAGUAAAUACAUAAAGUAUUUUUUCUUAUUUACAUCUAUUAAAAGAUAGUUGACUGUUUACCCAACAGUAGUAACAAUGUGUUUGGGGGUUUAUAAUAUAUGUAAAGGUGAAAUGCAUAAUACUAACAGCAUAAAUGCAGGCAAGGGAGAAAAGGAAGUCUACUGUUAUAAAUUUAUUGUACUAUACAUGAAGUCC